rnacentral:misc_RNA from 1 species
GGUUAAUUACCCAAUUUCAAAG